GCUACAGACCACAGUGUUCGCGUUCCAGAUACACUCUACCUGAUUUUGCCGUAUUUGGGCUCAUAAAACCAAAAGAAAAGGCAAGAAGAACCAGGAAACUGACGAAAGCUGCUAAACUGCCAACAAUUAUACCACUUCCCAUCCUUCCGGUUACAGGUUACCUAAAGUUGUAGAGCAUUAAAGGUGUAUAUGAGAUGUAAUUCGAAAAUGGCGAUAGGCAAGCAUCUCAGAGGUAUUUUGUAUUGGAACCUUGGCAUAUUUGAUGGCCCAUAUAGGUCUCACGUUCACAGGAAAUUUUCACUCUGGUCAAUGAAGAAAGAUCCUGAUCUUGAAUCUGCUUUAUCUCGCAACCGUCGUUGGAUAGUAAAUAAUCAAAUUAAGAAUAUCAUUUUUCGGUGCCCGAAUCAGGUGGCAUCAGUCAAGUUUCUUCAGAAGAAGUUCAAGACUCUUGAUCUUCAAGGGAAAGCUCUCAAUUGGCUUAAAAAGUAUCCCUGUUGCUUUGAAGUCUAUCUUGAGAAUGAUGAGCAGUAUUGUCGAUUAACAAAACAAAUGAUGGCUUUGGUUGAUGAGGAAGAAUGUUUGAAGGAUAUGCAAGAGCCUGUGUUUGCAGAGCGAUUAGCAAAGUUGUUGAUGAUUAGCUCAAAUCAAAGGCUUAAUGUGAUGAAGCUGAAUGAAUUGAAGAGGAACUUUGGCUUUCCCGAUGACUACUUGAUUAGAAUUGUACCAAAGUAUCCUGAAUUAUUUAGAGUUGUUAAUUAUACUGGAAGGAGGAGUUCAAUGGAAAUCGAGCUCAAAACAUGGAACCCUAAUCUAGCAGUUUCUGCAGUUGAAAAAAUAGCUCUAAAGGAGGGUCGACCUCCAAGUUUUUCUUGUUCAUUGCCUUCUUCCUGGGUAAAAUCUUGGGAAAGGUUUGAGGAAUUUAAUUCAACACCAUACAUUUCACCAUAUACUGACCCUGGUAGUUUGGUGGAGGGAUCAAAGGAAAUGGACAAAAGAAUUGUGGGUUUGGUGCAUGAAUUAUUAUCACUGACCUUGUGGAAGAAAAUGUCAAUUCUCAAGCUAAGCCAUUUCAGCAAAGAAUUUUGCUUGCCUGAGAAGUUAAAUGUCUUGCUGCUUAAGCAUCCUGGUGUCUUCUAUGUCUCAAAUAAAUACCAGAUUUACACAGUCCUUCUUAGAGAAGGAUAUAGUGGAUCUGAAUUGAUUGACAAGGAUCCGGCAGUCAUAGUGAAGGAUAAAUUUGGAGAACUCAUGCAGGAGGGGCUUCACGAAUAUAAUCAAAGGCACUAUUUGCUAAAUUUAGAAAAGAAGAGAAAAAAAGGCAUGAUUACAUCCAGACCUGAGAAAAAGAAUAAUUUGAGAAAUGAAAUGUCUGAAAAUGAGGAUCAAGGUGGAGAUAUUGGUGGCAUAUUUGACCCAGAAGAAAGAAAGCGAUUUUACAAAAUUCUCUUUGAUGACAGUGCUCCAUGAAUUUCAAACAGAGCUCUGCACAUAUAACAGGAUUCUGGCUGCUAGUGAGACAUCUUUUCAGUUAAUUUCUGACAAUUUUCUAAUGUGGAAGUAAUAAGUCAUUGAACAUAUUUUUGGUUUUAAAAAACUUCAUGCAAUUAUUAUUGGCAGAAAUGAAAGUUCUGUAUGAUUACUUGACACCAAAAUCACGUCCUAAAGUUACAUUGUACGCUGUUUUGCUUCGAUGGUCUUGCUGGUUCAGGAAUAGGUGAAUGGCCAUUUUGUUGUUCUAUUCCAAUAUGCUGGCUGUGUUGAUCAUGGGAUAGAGGAAUUGUCUUCCUCGUUAUACUCCACAAGAAAAGAGCUGCAGUGUUGUGGUAUUCUUUGUGGUCUUUAAUUGCUACGAGUUUGAGGACCUGAACUUGGUUUUUAUGUUGUGUCUGGGCAGAAACCCAUGCUGAAGUACUUGAAGCCUUGGGUGCCUCAAGAG